UACGUAGGGUGCAAGCGUUAAUCGGAAUUACUGGGCGUAAAGCGUGCGCAGGCGGUGAUGUAAGACAGUUGUGAAAUCCCCGGGCUCAACCUGGGAACUGCAUCUGUGACUGCAUCGCUGGAGUACGGUAGAGGGGGAUGGAAUUCCGCGUGUAGCAGUGAAAUGCGUAGAUAUGCGGAGGAACACCGAUGGCGAAGGCAAUCCCCUGGACCUGUACUGACGCUCAUG
rnacentral:rRNA from 1 species